UCUAUAAAUGCCUGGGGAUAUGUC
rnacentral:siRNA from 1 species